rnacentral:rRNA from 1 species
AAAAGAAUCAAAUCUUUUCUCUCCACCACGCCUCUCUCCGCCGAUUCCUCUCUCUCACACACCACAACGUGCCGCCGCCACCUCUGAUUCGGGGCAACUCCGGCGCACUCCCACACCGUUGUUUACCGGCCUGCCCCCCUAAUCCCCUCAAUGUUCUGCACCGAUCCUCCGCCGCGGCAACGUUCUCCGUGCCUCAGCACGUGCCCCUGCAACAACCCUCUUCGGCACAGGUCGCCGGCGUGGCUCCGCAGCUACGGUAUGUCAGCCGACUACCCCUGCAACUCAUCACAUCCGCCAUUAACGCCCCCAUAUCCUACGUCCUCUCUGUUUUCUCUCUCCGUUCCCAUCUCUUAUAGGCACACUCUGGAACAAAUAUGCAACCUAACCCUAGAUUGGUGACUGCCUUGUCCGAUUAUGUGAGCAUCUAGCCCGGUCCGAUGGUAACCAACAGAUUUGUGAUGUUCGUGUUGGUAGUCUUCCAACAGCGGCCAGUCGGAGAACUAGGAUCCUGACCGAGGAGGACCUGGUGGAUCUUAACGCUGCCUCAACAUUAGCUUCAGGCAUACCAUGUUAUUUCCAAGCUCUAUGAAUCUCAGGCAUGUCAUGACGUGGAGGUUAGUAGCAUACUUACUUGUCCCCCGGUAAGAGUUGUGUCCACUGUAUCUAAUUAUUUGUUCCACCAGUAUAUAACGUUAUGUGAUUCAGUUAGUUUCUCAGGCUCUACAUAUUUGCAGUAAGCGUGAUUGUGUUAUGGAUUGUGACUCUGUGCCUUUAAUAUUCGUAUCCAAUUUUGCUUUUGUUGAUGCAACUUCUAUGUGUAUCUAUUAUGAAAUUGUCCUACAGAUCAGUUUUCAAACUAUUGACAAUAGAUGUGUGUAUAUAAGCCGAUUGUGUUAAAAUAUUAAUCUUGCUAUGGCUGAUUGUGUGAGGGAUUAACGUGCUUUAGUGCAGUUUGAUUUCAAUUUCUCAGAGCUUCAGGGGCAGAUGGAUGUGUAAUGGUCAGUGUUUUGCUACACUCGUGGUCAAGGCCAACUCUCGGCGACGUCCUCCACCACCAGGAUCCCCUAAUGAUGGUCUGCAUAAUCCUUCUUUGGGUCUGUUCAGCCGUUUGCACAAUAAUAAUAACAGUAAUAAUAAUAUGAUUACCUUGGAGUAUUUGAUUGUAUUUUCUGUAGAGGUUUUGAUACAAAAGCCUGAUUUUCUGGUAGCUGUGGUUCAUUCCAUACUUUAGAUCACAUAGAAGACUAGCAUUUCAUCCCAAUGAUUGACCAACUAUAUUGAGUUAAGCAUAUCUGUUGGAAGUGCGCCCACAGGAUCGAUCACAUCAAAGUAGACAAAGAACACGCGCAUGAAAAACUGAUGGCCAAGGGCUCGUAUUGUGCCCUGUUUUUCUUUAUUUCUUCUGUUUUCUCCACGAUUACAAAACUCACGGCUGUACCCACGUAUAUAUAUAUACACAAGUGCCACCGACCAACUAGACCAAGUCCUACACAGACACCUAUCACUUUCCUAAUCUAAUUACACGGCGACCUUGAUCUUUUACUUAAACCUUAAGUCCUAAACUGACUCGUAAACGUACUGGGCCAUGCCAUGCAAAAUCAACUCCAACACGUACUCUUAAACGUACGGCAGCUAGCUUUUGCAAAAUUUGCACCACAUGAAAACUAACUUGAACUCAUUAAACUAACUCAAGAUUAUUUCUAACAAUAUCUUCAUAAAGCAUAGGUUUUUUUUACUACUGUUUAGUUUUCCCAUUUGUUUCAUAUACAUCCAUGAUUCAUAUGAUGUUCUACCAUGCACUGAAAAGUUAUUUAGACAUGGUAAUAUUAUGCUUUUCGCAAUCACCAGAAAUUAAAAAGAACUACAAGAGAUUUUUGUGUGAGCUUGAGUGCUUCAUGUCAUGACGUGGAAUUUUUUUUUGUAUAUGCUAUACAAGUCCUCCCAUUGGAUUCGAUAAAGAGUCCUCAUAUCACCAUCGGCACUGCAAUCUAUAUAAGUCCGAUCAAGUCUGUAAGUGGUUGACCAUUUAUUUUGUAUUAUUGGAAGAAAUAUACGUAGCAUUCUGUUUUGUUUACUUGGGAUAUCUUUAUGGCGCAAUUAAGUAAUAAUUAACGGAGAGUCUAAAACAUUAAUGGUCUACAUGACAGAUCUAGUAGCAAAUUUACAUUUCAAUUCGCUAUGACUUGUGUGCCAAUUUUUUAACUGAAUUGUAUGUCAAAAUUUUCAUUUUCAAACAACAACUGCUAACUGCUACUGCUACAGAAUUCUGUAUCAUAUUGUGGUUCGAUUAAGUUCAUAUAUAUCACUUGAUUCGUUUUAGUCGACUAUUAUUUGUUUCUUCUAUGUUGUUCCUGAUCUCAUAAUGCACGACAAACAACCUAGUUUUCUUUUGAGCCAUCUUCUUUCGCUAUUGUUUCUAUUCAUUUUGCGUACCUGAGUGCAAAAAACUUCAGAAUAAGCUAUUCAUUGCCAUCAUCACGUAUUUUAUUUUGUAAUUUUUUCUUGCAUUUGUUCACAAUUGGACGCAGACAUACAUUAUGACAACUUACGCAGAAGAAAAAGGAACCAUCACUCGCAAGCUAGGUAAAAUUUGUUCUUUUGCUUUCAAUGUGUUUCUUCAACGAGAAUGGUUUGGCUAUUGAGUUGUCAUAUAUAUUGUUUCUUUUGAAAUACUUAAACAUGGUAACUUAUCAGAUGGUGAUUGUUAGGUUGCACUACUUAUUUUUUCUAUCUGAUACAAUACAGAAUGGAAGCUAGAAAACAGCAAUUGUGUUUUGUGGCCUUUCAUAACACAAGCUGUGUGUGCAGCUGCAAGCCUGCAACUCUUUUGUUGUUCGAUCAAGGGAGAAGAACUGGGACAUACAUUUGUGGUGUCACCCAUCGAAAAUGUGGUAGGAGCUGGUGUUUGACGGUGCAGUGGGACGGCUGAGAGGAUUUUUUUAUGAGUAGUUUGGAGCUUGCAAGAGCAAAAUUGAUGGCGGUAGGUGCUGCAAGGUGGAUAUCGGAAGGUGGCGACGGACAAGGAGAGGACGCUACAUGUUGCUCAAUGGGGCUCCUCCUAGAUAGUUCCACAUUAUGUUCUUGAAUGUCAUUUUUAGGUUCAAUGUUCAAGACAUUAUGAUUUAGCAUAGUUGCGACAUUAAUUGUAAGGUUGAGAAUUGGGCUACUAGAUAGUUGUACAUUUUGUAAUGCUUGGAUUGUGUUCUUUGUAAUGCAACAUAGUCAAUUUAAUAUAUGAGACC